rnacentral:ncRNA from 1 species
GGUGCUGGACAGGUGAUGCAUGGUCGUCGUCAGUUCGUGGUUUGAACUGUUCCCUUCAGUGGGGUAACGAACGCAACCCCUGUUGCCUGUUGCCUAUAUGGUCAGGCGAGACUGCUCCCUCACGGGAGAGGAAGGUGGGGAUGACGCCAGAUCAGCAUGUCCCUCUGAUACCUUGGGCUGCACGCAUAAUACAAUGGGCGGUACAACGGGAUGCAAUACCGUAAGGUGGAGCCAAUCCUUUAAAACCGUCCUCAGUACGGAUUGAGGUCUGCAACCGACCUCAUGAAGCUGGAAUCGCUAGUAAUCCCGGGUCAGCCAAACCGGGGUGAAUACGUUCUCGAGUCUUGUACUCACAAAUAAAUGCGCCCGGCAGCGCAUGGUUCUAAGUGGUUCAAAUCCACUCCUUC